CGUUGGCGAUGGCGGCCUCGGGUCCUGGCAGGGCGCUCGACUGGAUCACGACGUCAGCGGGGUUCUUGGACUCGGUUCCCUGCUCGUUGGUGACGAUCUCGGCGCGGUACCCGUUCUCGUCGGCCGUGUAGCUGACCGUGCGGGUGCGGCCGUCGGCCAGGGUCAUGGUGUAGCGUCCCGUGACGCGUCCGGAGCCGUCGCCGCUCUCUUCGCGCGUGUGCGAGCCCUCGGCGUCCUGGCUGGCGUAGUUGAAUGAGUACGGGAUCGGA